rnacentral:rRNA from 1 species
UGAGGAAUAUUGGUCAAUGGACGGAAGUCUGAACCAGCCAAGUAGCGUGCAGGAUGACGGCCCUAUGGGUUGUAAACUGCUUUUGUAUGGGGAUAAAGUUAGGGACGUGUCCCUAUUUGCAGGUACCAUAUGAAUAAGGACCGGCUAAUUCCGUGCCAGCAGCCGCGGUAAUACGGAAGGUUCAGGCGUUAUCCGGAUUUAUUGGGUUUAAAGGGAGCGUAGGCUGGAGAUUAAGUGUGUUGUGAAAUGUAGACGCUCAACGUCUGACUUGCAGCGCAUACUGGUUUCCUUGAGUACGCACAACGUUGGCGGAAUUCGUCGUGUAGCGGUGAAAUGCUUAGAUAUGACGAAGAACUCCGAUUGCGAAGGCAGCUGACGGGAGCGCAACUGACGCUUAAGCUCGAAGGUGCGGGUAUCAAACAGGAUUAGAUACCCUGGUAGUCCGCACAGUAAACGAUGGAUGCCCGCCGUUGGUACCUGGUAUCAGCGGCUAAGCGAAAGCAUUAAGCAUCCCACCUGGGGAGUACGCCGGCNCGGU